ensembl:lncRNA
CCACAGCUUCCCUAGCUCUUGUAUAUUUAAUAUGGGCUCUUUCUUUAUAGAUAUGGUAGCUUUAGUUUGGUCUUUUUGUUUGUUUUCAAGUUUAUGGCAGUAUGCUUGGCCCAGUUUUUGUCUACUAUAUGGAAACAUUUUUCCUGUUCUGCAAUGAAAGAUGUAUUUAUCUUCCAUUAUAUCUAUUUUUCCUUAAUUUUCUUGUAGUAGCUUUGCAUAGAUGCUCAUUUUUUUAAUAAGAUGAAGUUUUUUUUCUGGACAAGCUACUGACAAGAGAUUUGUGUGAGAGCGAUACCAUGUCCAGGUUCUAGACCAAUCAAGAAUUCUUGCUGUUCACAGACACAGAACAGUUCACUCUUUGAAGAUCUGUUGAGCCCAGGCUCUAGAGCCCAGGAGCCGCAACUCCUGAGCCUGCAAGCCACAAGCACUAGAGCCUGUGCUCUGCAACAAGAGAAGCCACUGCAACGAGG